UAGAUGUCGCUUUAAUCGACAAGCAAAUAAUACAAAAUAUUUCAGUUUAACUGCACUGUAAUUGAGGUUUUGAAAACAACAAGAAUGCCUGAGUCACAAGCAGCUGAAUUGAAAGAAGUUAUUCCAAACAAAGGCAUGCUGUUCCAAGAAGAAACUUCAACAUAUGUCCUUUGCAAACCUAAGCUUAUGCCUUUAAAGUCAGUGACUUUGGAGAAGCUGGAAAAGAUGCAGAAGGAGGCAGAAGAAAAAGUCAAGAAACAGAUGGACAAUAGUCAUUUAGAAACUAAAUGAUGGGAAUUAGAAACUAAUUUUUUUGUAAUUACUUGAAUUGAGUAUUUGUAUUAAUUGUCAUUGUUGCUUGAUUUAUUCAUACAUUUAUGUUUAAGUUAUUUCCUAAAAUGUUCUUUAUUGUGCAAAUACCUUCCAUAUCUGUAAUAAUUAAAUCAUAAUAAAGCAAAUUUCUGUUUAGCA